GCUUCGAUGGCGUAAUGGUUAGCGUUGGGGAUUGUGGUUCCCUAGGUGCCGGUUCAAUUCCGGCUCGAGGCACCA
rnacentral:tRNA from 1 species